GAUCCAGACUUUGAUCAUGGCUCAGGAUGAACGCUAGCUACAGGCUUAACACAUGCAAGUCGAGGGGCAGCGGGAUUGAAGCUUGCUUCAAUUGCCGGCGACCGGCGCACGGGUGAGUAACGCGUAUCCAACCUUCCGUACACUCAGGGAUAGCCUUUCGAAAGAAAGAUUAAUACCCGAUAGUAUCUUAGCACACAUGUAAUUAAGAUUAAAGAUUUAUCGGUGUACGAUGGGGAUGCGUUCCAUUAGGUAGUAGGCGGGGUAACGGCCCACCUAGCCAACGAUGGAUAGGGGUUCUGAGAGGAAGGUCCCCCACAUUGGAACUGAGACACGGUCCAAACUCCUACGGGAGGCAGCAGUGAGGAAUAUUGGUCAAUGGACGAGAGUCUGAACCAGCCAAGUAGCGUGAAGGAUGAAGGUCCUACGGAUUGUAAACUUCUUUUAUAAGGGAAUAAACCCUCCCACGUGUGGGAGCUUGUAUGUACCUUAUGAAUAAGCAUCGGCUAACUCCGUGCCAGCAGCCGCGGUAAUACGGAGGAUGCGAGCGUUAUCCGGAUUUAUUGGGUUUAAAGGGAGCGCAGACGGGUCGUUAAGUCAGCUGUGAAAGUUUGGGGCUCAACCUUAAAACUGCAGUUGAUACCGGCGUCCUUGAGUGCGGUUGAGGUGUGCGGAAUUCGUGGUGUAGCGGUGAAAUGCUUAGAUAUCACGAAGAACUCCGAUUGCGAAGGCAGCACACUAAUCCGUAACUGACGUUCAUGCUCGAAAGUGUGGGUAUCAAACAGGAUUAGAUACCCUGGUAAUCCACACGGUAAACGAUGGAUACUCGCUGUUGGCGAUAUACUGUCAGCGGCUUAGCGAAAGCGUUAAGUAUCCCACCUGGGGAGUACGCCGGCAACGGUGCAACUCAAAUGAAUUGACGG
rnacentral:rRNA from 1 species